rnacentral:tRNA from 1 species
AGCUCUGUGGUGAAGUUCAUAUCAGAUUGCAAAUCUGAAGACAUAUCUUAAUAGUGAUAUCAGUGCUU